GACGAACGCUGGCGGCGUGCUUAACACAUGCAAGUCGAACGCUGAAGACCUGGCUUUUGUUGGGUUGGAUGAGUGGCGAACGGGUGAGUAACACGUGAGUAACCUGCCCUCUUCUUUGGGAUAACGCCCGGAAACGGGUGCUAAUACUGGAUAUUCACUGGCCUUCGCAUGGGGGUUGGUGGAAAGGUUUGUUCUGGUGGGGGAUGGGCUCGCGGCCUAUCAGCUUGUUGGUGGGGUGAUGGCCUACCAAGGCUUUGACGGGUAGCCGGCCUGAGAGGGUGACCGGUCACAUUGGGACUGAGACACGGCCCAAACUCCUACGGGAGGCAGCAGUGGGGAAUAUUGGACAAUGGGCGCAAGCCUGAUCCAGCCAUGCCGCGUGAGUGAUGAAGGCCUUAGGGUUGUAAAGCUCUUUCACCGGAGAAGAUAAUGACGGUAUCCGGAGAAGAAGCCCCGGCUAACUUCGUG
rnacentral:rRNA from 1 species